AGGUGUUCAGAGAUCCAUUCUAGAAAGCGUUCUAACCCACAUGUGGAAUAGAGAACGGCUACCAAUGAGGGCCUUGAUGAGUUCCCAUUUGAGCAAAGAGAGAAUGAUAUUAUCCAGUCUGACCCGACUUGCUAUAUCCUUUAAACACAUGGGACAUUUCCAAGUCUCCACCUUUCCAAUGGGAUGAAAAGAUCAGCCAGGAUAAAGGAGAUGGAGUAGUUUAUCUCCCUGGUUCUCAUUCUUCUAGAAUAAACAUUUAAACGGACCUCUGCUCUGAAGAGAAAGCUUCUGAAGUGGCUGCUGUAAAUUGUGAUCGUUCCUAAUUCCUCUCCUCUCCAUUGUGGAUUUUCUGUCUUGAUUGUAUGCGUAUUUAUCUCAAUAAAUAGGGAAAGUGUAAUUUCCUUGACAAAAAAUGAAAAGGUGAAACUGUAACCCUGAUGGAUAUCAAGUAUCCAGAAAGUAUCAUUUUACUUUCAUUGUGUUAAUGUUUAUGUCAGCAAAGUCAGAAAGUGAAUGAUUGGGAGGAUUCUGAAAGAAACCUGUGACAGAGCCACUAUGUCAGGUAAAUACCUUUAUAUUAUAAAAUCCCUUUAUAACUGAAGUGUGUUCUCCCCUCUCCUCUCCCUCUUCCCUCCUCUUUUCUCCAUCUCUUCAUCUCUCCCCUUUACCUCAGCCAAACCAAGGUCCUUGGGGUCAGGACUUUGGAAAGCAAUAGCCAUCAGAAAUACCUUGAAAUAUCACUCCAAUGUUUUUGCGUAUCAUUUUCCAGUCUAGAACAUCAACAUCCUCCCUCCAUAGGAAGCUGUGUGAUUCCUUUACUUUGCCUGUCGUGAAGCGAUGCAGGAGUCUGUGUGUCAGUAGAGAAAUAUUUGCAGUGCCUCUCCUACAUAAUGAUACUUCAAUCUUCUUCAGUAAAGAGAAGCCAGCUUAGGUUGUCAGUGAGAUUUCAUACAACUCAAAAACAAACUUAGUAGGAAAAUGCUGUGAUUUUGUCUUUCAGAUGAAAAAAAAACCCCACAAAUACAAGUGUCAUUGUAGUGAGAGCAUUUUAAGCAUUUAACAUAUCAUUUGUGGUUCUCAUAAGAUCAGGAGAACCAUUGGGUAAAAUCAUUCUAUGGAUAUCGGUUUAUGCGUUUUGUGUUUUUAGCAUACUUUGUGAUAUACAUGUGUGAGGGGGAAACAUUCUCUUUGGCUUUCUCUUUAUAACACAUACUAUGGACAUGUUACUGCUGCUGCCAUGAGGUCACCUAGAAGACAUGUGUACUGAUAAGUAAUUGGGUAACUAUUGUAGUUCUUCAUCUGCUCUAUGGUACUGAGUUUUGAGCAUGAAAAUUCAAUAGUUCCAUUUUCAAUAGCAGCCAGUGAUGACUGUAAAAUAUUGUGAGGGCUCUAGAGACCCAUCACUUAGAUUCCUAAAUAGCAGGGGUCACAUGAUGGCUCCCCUGUUGACACUGGUGUGAGAUGUAAGGAACCCUGACAGUUCAAAGCCUAAUGGCUCUAGGAGAGUGAGGCACUGGUCAUGUGACAUGCAGGGGACUGUAUAGACAAGGGAACCCCUGCAGGCUGGCUGGGAUUUGCUUAUAUUGCAAAGCAAAUGAAGGAGUCUUUCUGUGUCUCGCUCUCCAUUGCAUCCCCAGUAUCCGCCACUGUGGUGCCGGUAGUCAGGUAGAGUGCCCUCUGAACAACACUCAUCACCAUCAUCGUCAUAGCCACCACUAGCAGGUGGGUACUGAGGACUCCCCAGUGACCUUCUGUUUUUCCUUUGCUUUGGUUGUUAAUUAUUUUGAUAAACCUAAGUAUAUUAUUUACUAAUAAGACCAUGGCCUCUAUUUUCUUGUCCAGGAUACUUUCAAAUAUUUGUCUAAUUUUCGGCCUCCCGUUCUAAAAAGUAGACCAUGUGUCCUUGAGAAAGCCUUCCCUGAAUGUCCAGCUUAACUCAUUUUCUCCUACUGCCCACUCUUCCUUCUCCCCAGACUCUUCUAAUUUGUUCAUAAAACUUCUCAAGAUACAAAAUUCUCCCCUUUGCUUGCCUACUUGUUUGCUAACUGCUGCAGAAGGAUGUUGACUGUGCUGUUCCCUCUCUGUCAGCAGUGGUGAUUAGAAUACAGUAGGUGCCCAACAAACAUUUCGAGAGUGAAUAAUACAGGAAUCACAGUGGUCGCUGAGAAACCACAAGAGCUACUUAUGAAAGUACUCACUGGAUGCAUCAAAGGCCUGCCACCCAAGUAGCAAUCUCGGGAUCUUUUGGCUCUUUACUCUUGAAAUUCUUUGUCUGUGUCUUCUGUUUGGUGCUGUGUACUCACAGCAGCUCAUAUCUCAGUUAAUGGUCUAAGUGUGGACAUAGGAGUCAUGAGCGGCUCAGAGGGAUAUGCUAUCUACCUAUAAUUCUAAAAAUUAUGCAGAGUAGUAUGAGACACAUUUUGGGAAGACAGACCAAAUCCAGCUGUGGGUCUCUGCUUGGCUGCUUCACUAUGAAGCUCUCAUGCAAAGCCCUCCAUGAGCUCAGCUUUGAUCUGCUUUCAGGCCUGCCAGAGCACUCUAGUUCUCAAGUCUCAAUUACUUUGAAAGGCACCAAAUCUAGCUUUGAUGGUGUACACGGAGAAUGGUAGAAAAUUCAGGCGAUUUGAGGAAAGCUAAGUGAACAAAAAUGAAGCUGCUUUUUAGAGAAAACAACCUCUAGCAGAUUUUUAUGGCCGUAAUGACACGAAUGAACCAGAUUGGAGACCAAAUGAAGGCUGUCAUUGACACCUGCCAUCUGUCUGAAGUAAAGGUAGGAGACCCUGUUGGAUGCUUCCUGAGGAAGGCACUUUCCUUGCAUCAGUUCCUUCCCUCUGUCCUUGUCCUUGUUUGGGUUUGGCCUCUUCGGUUAAUUCUCAGAAGCGCAAGAAAUGACCUUGACUGUGACCCUAACAACACCAGCAUGAAUUUCACUUUGGUUUCAAAACUGAAGUUCUUAAAAGUUAUCUCUUCAUAGUUUUCCUUGCAGGACUCCAGGGGAUUGGAAGCUGAGACAAGCACUGGUCCCUUGAUCGCACAGCAGCGUUCUUCGGGGAAAAGCUAGAACACAACACUCUAAGUGCUAACUCCAGGAAACCCUAGGGCUCAGCAAAGCCCAGCGGUAGAAAUGCUAUCCUGGGGCUUUGCAGUCCCAUCCCUACAUCAGGACUUCCCCUGUGUUCUUUCCUAUCUCUUCUGCUCCCGGACAAAUCAAAUGGAUUUUAAUCCAGUGCUGUGCUUUAUGUCUUCUGUCUUCUCAGGCACUUAUUCUAUUCUAUCCAUAGCAUGAAAAAACUCAAUGCAAAAAAAAAAAAUCCACUGAGUUUGCCUUGAAGUAAAAUACAAUAUAUGAACUUGGAUUCCAGAAACAGUAGUUAUUUGGGGGGGGAGGGUGCACUCUGGACAGUGUUUUCAUUUGUUAGCCGUCCUGACUACAUCUAUGUGUCCAUGUAUUGUUGUACUUUGCUGUGCAUUUUUGCCAUUUUUAUUGUUGUUGUUGUCAAGGUAUGAAGAGGGUAAAGAAGAAACAAUGGAGAGGAAUGAAAGGUUUUGUUUUCUCUAGCCAAAAUGAUGAUUUUGUUCUUUUCUGGUAUUCUACCUUCCAGAGGGUUGAGAGUCUUUUCUAUGACACUCUCAAAUGUCCUAUUGGUUCAUACAGAUUUAUACUUUGACUGAAGAAUUGUAUAAGUUUGAAAUCUGAACUAGAAUAAACUGAAAUGGAAGUGUCCAAAUUAAUCAUAAAAUGAAUGAACCAAUAGUGG